GCCCCUUUGGAGCAGUGGUUUAGCUCACUCGCCUCCGGCAACAAGGUCCUGAAUAGCGAGGGGUCGGGGGUUCGAAUCCCCCAAGGGGUA